UCCCCGCAGGCCACAGCGCUGGGACUCCUGCCUUCCCUGCUAUCUCCCUGAGGCAAGGGGUUGGAGGUUAGCACGGAGUGUUUCUCAAUCAUUUUCCACCUUACAUUUUAAGACAUGGUGUGUCACUGAACCUGGAACUCACCAACUCUGCUAGACUGGUUCUGACAAUUGCUCUAGCACAGAUGAACCUUGAGGGCAUUAAGCCCACUGAAAUAAGCCAGUGACAAAAAGACAAAUGUUGUGAUCACACUUAAAUAAGGUAAGUAGACUGUCGGUCAAGCAGGUAGGGGCAGAAAGCAGAACCCUAGCCGCUAGGGGAUGUGGGGAGGGCAGAAUGGGCAUUUGUUGUUUAAUGGAUGUAAAGGUUCAGUUUUGCAAAAGGAAAAGGUGAGGCUGAGGACAUUGCUCUCUAGCAGAACGCUCACCUAGCAUUUCUGAGACCUGAGUUCAAUGUCCAACAGCUCAUGCACACACACAUGCACAGGAGAAAGAAGGGAAAGAAGCUACCCUUUUACUUAAAAAAUGCAUUUAUUUUUAUUUUAUGUGUGUGUGCCUGAGUUGCAAGUGCCCACUGAGUGCAGAAGAAAGUGUUGGAUCUCCUGAAACUGGAGUUACACGUGCUUGUGAGCCACCUGAUGUGCUGAGAGCAGUCCUUAGGCCUCUGCAAUAGCAGCAAGUCCUAUGUAAUGCCUCAUAAUGACUUUUGUUUAGACAACAAAUUAUUUUUUUAAGAUAUUUACACAAAUAAAAGAUAUUUUGAAAAUUCUUAUAGGGCUCGGGUAUGGCUACAUAAAGCCAUGGGUUCCAUCAUCAGUGCAAGAAGAAAUAAAUGAACUUAUAUUUAUCAAAUGUG
ensembl:processed_transcript 5730405O15Rik RIKEN cDNA 5730405O15 gene